CGCUUAUUGCGCGGCGAUAAACCUUACACACAUUGUCUAGUUUUUUUGAACUUUGCUUUGGGUGCAUCAGCCUAGCUGCGUGCCCAAAGGUCUAAACACAUUUUUUAAUGUUAAAACCUUUAACCAAUAGUCAUGAAAAUUUUUAACAAAAAUUAAAAUCUUCAAAACUUUCAACAACGGAUCUCUUGGUUCUCGCAACGAUGAAGAACGCAGCGAAAUGCGAUACGUAUUGUGAAUUGCAGAUUUUCGUGAAUCAUCGAAUCUUUGAACGCACAUUGCACCCUCUGGUAUUCCAGAGGGUAUGCCUGUUUGAGCGUCAUUUCUCUCUCAAACCUUCGGGUUUGGUAUUGAGUGAUACUCUGUCAAGGGUUAACUUGAAAUAUUGACUUAGCAAGAGUGUACUAAUAAGCAGUCUUUCUGAAAUAAUGUAUUAGGUUCUUCCAACUCGUUAUAUCAGCUAGGCAGGUUUAGAAGUAUUUUAGGCUCGGCUUAACAACAAUAAACUAAAAGUUUGACCUCAAAUCAGGUAGGACUACCCGCUGAACUUAAGCAUAUCAAUAA
rnacentral:rRNA from 1 species